AGUGAACGCUGGCGGUAGGCCUAACACAUGCAAGUCGAACGGCAGCACAGUAAGAGCUUGCUCUUACGGGUGGCGAGUGGCGGACGGGUGAGGAAUACAUCGGAAUCUACUUUUUCGUGGGGGAUAACGUAGGGAAACUUACGCUAAUACCGCAUACGACCUACGGGUGAAAGCAGUGGAUCUUCGGACCUUUCGCGAUUGAAUGAGCCGAUGUCGGAUUAGCUAGUUGGCGGGGUAAAGGCCCACCAAGGCGACGAUCCGUAGCUGGUCUGAGAGGAUGAUCAGCCACACUGGAACUGAGACACGGUCCAGACUCCUACGGGAGGCAGCAGUGGGGAAUAUUGGACAAUGGGCGAAAGCCUGAUCCAGCCAUACCGCGUGGGUGAAGAAGGCCUUCGGGUUGUAAAGCCCUUUUGUUGGGAAAGAAAAGCAGCAGGUUAAUACCCCGCUGUUCUGACGGUACCCAAAGAAUAAGCACCGGCUAACUUCGUG
rnacentral:rRNA from 1 species